GCGGACUCUCUUUGAGAACAUAAUAUGGCUUUUUUUUUACUGAUAGCUGGUGUUUUUUUUUUUUUCAAUGAUAAUAUGAGAAAUAAACAAAGCAUCCCCGAUUUCAAGGCAAAAAUUUAGUAAUGUGCAUAACCGCAGCGCCUACCAACUGCUUCGAGUCUCUCGACUGCUGUGCUCUAAUACCAAAAGGAACAAUGUCGUAUUCUACGGAGAAUUCGGUUGUUUUACCACAGGAAAACUCCACCAUUUUGUCACUGGAAAGUCCAGCACAAGUAAAGAGCUGAUCUUUAAAAUCCGACAUCUGAAAGCAACAACAACAGCUCUGGCUUCCUUGAUGAUAGUGGUGAAGUGGACCGCUGGAUUCAAAAGAAGAAACUUCAGACUGGAGUUACU